rnacentral:rRNA from 1 species
AACUGAUGAGUUGCGAACGGGUGAGUAACGCGUAGGUAACCUGCCUCAUAGCGGGGGAUAACUAUUGGAAACGAUAGCUAAUACCGCAUAAGAGUGAUUAACACAUGUUAGUUAUUUAAAAGGAGCAAUUGCUUCACUGUGAGAUGGACCUGCGUUGUAUUAGCUAGUUGGUGAGGUAAAGGCUCACCAAGGCGACGAUACAUAGCCGACCUGAGAGGGUGAUCGGCCACACUGGGACUGAGACACGGCCCAGACUCCUACGGGAGGCAGCAGUAGGGAAUCUUCGGCAAUGGACGGAAGUCUGACCGAGCAACGCCGCGUGAGUGAAGAAGGUUUUCGGAUCGUAAAGCUCUGUUGUUAGAGAAGAACGUUGGUAGGAGUGGAAAAUCUACCAAGUGACGGUAACUAACCAGAAAGGGACGGCUAACUACGUGCCAGCAGCCGCGGUAAUACGUAGGUCCCGAGCGUUGUCCGGAUUUAUUGGGCGUAAAGCGAGCGCAGGCGGUUCUUUAAGUCUGAAGUUAAAGGCAGUGGCUUAACCAUUGUACGCUUUGGAAACUGGAGGACUUGAGUGCAGAAGGGGAGAGUGGAAUUCCAUGUGUAGCGGUGAAAUGCGUAGAUAUAUGGAGGAACACCGGUGGCGAAAGCGGCUCUCUGGUCUGUAACUGACGCUGAGGCUCGAAAGCGUGGGGAGCAAACAGGAUUAGAUACCCUGGUAGUCCACGCCGUAAACGAUGAGUGCUAGGUGUUAGGCCCUUUCCGGGGCUUAGUGCCGCAGCUAACGCAUUAAGCACUCCGCCUGGGGAGUACGACCGCAAGGUUG